ACCCGUUCUGCCUUGAGGAUGCAGUGAAAAAGAUGGCCAGCAAGGAACCGUAAGAGGACCCCGCCCCCCGCCCACCGCCUGACACAAAUCUGCUGGCAAACCCAUUACAUCGGACUCCAGCCUCCAGGACAGUGAGGACUGAGUUUCUGUUGUUUAUAAGCCACUGGUCUGCAGUGCUGUGUUAGAGCAGCCGCAGCUGACGAGACACACCUUCAUCACGAUAAGAGAGGCUGUGGUCCAUGGAAGCCUUCAGAUGCCCCUUCCCAUAACAUCGAUGGCAGCCCCUGAAAGAAGUGUUUCAGCACCUACUUGACUGAGACCAAGCUAAGGCUCAGAGAGGCGAAGCCUUCUGCCUAAGGACACACAGUUAAGAGAGAGGGGUCAAGCCUGGAGAUGUGACUCUAAAGCUGUAUUUCACCAUCUUUUGUGUCGGAUCCACCUGGAACUUGGAGGUCACCUUGCUUAUCUGGUUAUAGCUGGAGUGAGCGGCAGGGAGGCCUUGCAUCUUGCAUCAUGGAACACUGCCGCCACCUGACCCCGCCCAGGUCAGAGUCCACCAGGAUGGGAGACCACAUGGAGGGAGCCCCCUCCCCACCCCGCAAUUCCUGCCAUCCCACAUGAGGCCCCCGACGUGAGUGAGCGAGCCCUGUCAACCCCAUGCAGAGCAAAGGUGAACCGCCCCAGCUGAGCCCAGGGGCUCCUGCACAGAGGGAUGCAGGUGGGAGGAAGCUGCUAGGUUUCGCGGUGGCUAGUUACUUGGCGAAAAUUACCCGGAAACUAACCUGCCUUGUUUCCUGCUCAGCCUGGUUCCCCAGCCUUCCCAUCCCUUCUGCAAGCUUCCUAAUUCCUUCCACAAAUCCCUUUUCUGCUUACGUUCACCAGAGUUGGUUUAUGUUGUUUGCAGCUUAGAACACUGGCUGGUACAGAAAUCGGUACUGGACAUGGAUUUCAGGUACUGGACCCUCAAAGGGUGGACUGAAAACAGAGAACAUACAAUUUGUACACACCCUGCAAAGCGGCUGCAGUUAGAGAUUGAGGAAGGGGUGGGGGGGUCUAGCUCAGGGGCAGAGCGCAUGCACGAGGUCCGGGGGUCAAUCCCCAGUACCUCCAUUAACAACAGCAAUAACUACAGAAAGACUGAGGACAGAGGUGCUGGUUAGGACGUGAAACCACCGACUCUCACGCACGCUGCCGGGGGGGCGAGCACGCGCUGGGAGGGCGUCCGGCCUCAUCCACGGGAGCGAAAAGCGCGACCCAGCAAGUCCACUCCGGGGCAUACGCCCGAGAGAAGUGAGCCCACACGCCCACCAGAGGACGUCGCGAGCAUGCUCCCAGAAACUUCACCCGGACGCCAGAGACACUGGAGGUCGUCCCGAGGCCCGUCGGCUGUAGAGCAGGUCGGUGAAUCGUGGCAAAUUCAGACGACGGAGCUCCGCUUUGCUGCGGGGAGCAACACGCACGGAUCUCACGGGCCAGACGCCGAGCCAGGCGAGGCUGACGCGGACGGGCAGGCACCGCCUGACUCCUCACAUGAAGUUCAAGGAGGGGAGAGACUAAUCUCCACUGACAGAGGUCAGGACGGCGGUUACGCUGGGGGUUGGGGGGUGCUGCUACUAACGGGGUGGGGUGAGGCGCGUCCACUACCUAGCUCCGAGGGGUGGGGGUGGGGCGUAUAGAUGAACUGGGCUCCAUUCUUUAUACUGGUCUGGAUGCACACAGAUCGUUAUGUACAGGUAUAUGUACACGUUACACACCAGUAAAGUGGUCUCCCCAAGUCUCUCUGGCACUCAGGGAUGGGAGUCUGGCAUUGCACACAGUGGGGAACCGGCUGAUCCAGUCAUUGCCUAUGGUUCCCUGGAAUGAGGUAUUCAAGGAUUCCAGGCUCAGAGGUGAUUGCUUCUAAUGUGACUAAAGCAAGGAGGAAGCAGGUGAGGCAACUUAGGUGAAAUAUUUUUAAGAGGCGUUCAGUCUCAGGAGACAGAGGCUGGGGAAAGCCCUUUGUCCUUUUCUGGCUACCUCCUUCCUGCUUCCUGAAAGGCAGACAUGAUGGCUGGAAUCCCAGCAGCCAUUAUGGACCACAAGGCAACCUUGAGGAUGGCAACUGUGUAUUAAGUGGUAUAUAAAGAAGGAGCCUACUCUUCCGUGUGAGAGAAAAAUAAAAUACCUCAUAUAA